rnacentral:rRNA from 1 species
UACGUAGGGUGCAAGCGUUAAUCGGAAUUACUGGGCGUAAAGCGUGCGCAGGCGGCUUUGCAAGACAGGUGUGAAAUCCCCGGGCUUAACCUGGGAACUGCAUUUGUGACUGCAUAGCUAGAGUACGGUAGAGGGGGAUGGAAUUCCGCGUGUAGCAGUGAAAUGCGUAGAUAUGCGGAGGAACACCGAUGGCGAAGGCAAUCCCCUGGACCUGUACUGACGCUCAUGCACGAAAGCGUGGGGAGCAAACAGG